CUACCGAUUGAAUGAUCCGGUGAAGUGUUCGGAUCGCGGCGUGGGGCGUUCGCUGCCCGCGACGUCGCGAGAAGUCACUGAACCUUAUCAUUUAGAGGAAGGAGAAGUCGUAACAAGGUUUCCGUAGGUGAACCUGCGGAAGGAUCAUUG
rnacentral:ncRNA from 1 species